rnacentral:rRNA from 1 species
GACGAACGCUGACGGCGUGCUUAACACAUGCAAGUCGAAGGGAGUGGCGAACGGGUGAGUAACACGUGAGUAACCUGCCCUUUUCUUUGUGAUAAGCCUGGGCAACUGGGUCUAAUACUGGAUGGAUUGGGAUGGGCUCGCGGCUUAUCAGCUUUUUGGUGGGGUGAUGGCUUACCAAGGCUUGGACGGGUAGCCGGCCUGAGAGGGUAGUCGGUCACGCUGGGACUGAGAUACGGCCCCGACUCCUACGGGGGGCGGCAGUGGGGGAUAUUGCAGAAUGGACGAAAGUCUGAUGCAGCGACGUCGUGUGGGGGAUGAAGGCCUUAGGGUUGUAAACUCCUUUCGCCCGCGGAAUGGUAGUGGGUAAAGAAGCGCCGGCUAACUACGUGCCAGCCGCCGCGGUAAUAC